rnacentral:rRNA from 1 species
UACAGAGGGUGCAAGCGUUGCUCGGAUUUACUGGGCGUAAAGCGUACGCAGACGGUGAGAAAGGUCGGAUGUGAAAGCCCCGGGCUCAACCCGGGAACUGCAUCCGAAACCAUCUCGCUAGAGUAUGGGAGAGGGAAGCGGAAUUCCUGGUGUAGAGGUGAAAUUCGUAGAUAUCAGGAGGAACACCGGCGGCGAAGGCGCUUCCUGGCCCAUUACUGACGUCAGGUACGAAAGCGUGGUAGCAAACAGGG